AGCAGCCGCCACGGUAAUACGUAGGUGGCAAGCGUUGUCCGGAAUUAUUGGGCGUAAAGGGCUCGCAGGCGAUUUCUUAAGUCUGAUGUGAAAGCCCCCGGCUCAACCGGGGAGGGUCAUUGGAAACUGGGAAACUUGAGUGCAGAAGAGGAGAGUGGAAUUCCACGUGUAGCGGUGAAAUGCGUAGAGAUGUGGAGGAACACCAGUGGCGAAGGCGACUCUCUGGUCUGUAACUGACGCUGAGGAGCGAAAGCGUGGGGAGCGAACAGGAUUAGAUACCCCCGUAGUCCCUGUCUCUUAUAC
rnacentral:rRNA from 1 species